GAUGAACGCUAGCGAUAGGCUUAACACAUGCAAGUCGAGGGGCAGCAUGGUCUUAGCUUGCUAAGACUGAUGGCGACCGGCGCACGGGUGCGUAACGCGUAUGCAACUUGCCUCACAGAGGGGGAUAACCCGUCGAAAGACGGACUAAUACCGCGUACACUCCAUCUUGGGUAUCCAAGGUAGAGGAAAUGAAAUUCGCUGUGAGAUAGGCAUGCGUCCCAUUAGCUAGUUGGUGAGGUAACGGCUCACCAAGGCGACGAUGGGUAGGGGAACUGAGAGGUUGAACCCCCACACUGGUACUGAGACACGGACCAGACUACUACGGGAGGCAGCAGUGAGGAAUAUUGGUCAAUGGGCGAGAGCCUGAACCAGCCAAGUCGCGUGAAGGAUGACUGUCUUAUGGAUUGUAAACUUCUUUUAUACGGGAAUAACAAGAGUCACGUGUGACUCCCUGCAUGUACCGUAUGAAUAAGCAUCGGCUAACUCCGUG
rnacentral:rRNA from 1 species